rnacentral:tRNA from 1 species
GCGAAGGGAGCUCGGUAGGUAGAGCGUUAGAUUGUGAAUCUAUAGGUCAUGGGUUCGAAUCCCAUUCUUCGCC